UUACGAGGUCAGGACACUGUGAGGAUUGACAGAUUGAAAGCUCUUUCUUGAUUCAGUGGGUGGUGGUGCAUGGCCGUUCUUAGUUGGUGGAGUGAUUUGUCUGGUUAAUUCCGUUAACGAACGAGACCUUAACCUGCUAAAUAGUCACGCGAACCGGUCCGCAAGGGCUCAAAGUUCGCGGCUCGACUUCUUAGAGGGACUAUUCGCACCCGCCAGCGAAUGGAAGUUUGAGGCAAUAACAGGUCUGUGAUGCCCUUAGAUGUUCUCGGCCGCACGCGCGUUACACUGACGGAGUCAACGAGCGUUUUUCCUUGCCCGAUAGGGUUGGGUAACCUCCUGAAACUCCGUCGUGAUGGGGAUAGAUCAUUGCAAUUAUUGAUCUUAAACGAGGAAUUCCUAGUAGGCGCGAGUCAUCAACUCGCGCCGAUUACGUCCCUGCCCUUUGUACACACCGCCCGUCGCUCCUACCGAUUGAACGGUCCGGCGAGAACUCCGGAUGGUC
rnacentral:rRNA from 1 species